rnacentral:lncRNA from 1 species
GGAUGCGGGAUGGUUACAAAGUGUGGAUAAAGCACGCUUGCUUACAGCUAGACUCAUUUUACUGUUUUCCCACCCCAACUUUUUGUGGGAGGUCCACUUGUUAUAAAUCCCUGAGCUGAAAGAAGAGGAGAAACAGUUUGAGGAAACAGAAAUUAACCGUCUACACCGCUCACUAACGUGCACCUUCCUGCACCUACAGGGCGAGCAAUGCCACCUCCGUUCUUUUUUGAGGCAUUUUACCUUGUUCCUGACACCGUUGAGUGCCAUAUUUUGGGGGCCCCAACCUGACGGUUGCCAACCCAAGUUCUCACGACACAAAAUGAGAUAAACGAGAAGGAGAUAGCUGUCCUUGGGAGAGAAAGGAUCAGCGCCCAAAGGGUCUCGAAAGCUAAUUCACCAGCCACACUCAAAGAUCAAAAUCUUGCAGAUGUUUUAGCCUGCCGAUCCCUAUUUGGAAAGGAAGGGACAAUGUGAAACUUUUCCUUCCUCUCCACCAGGCACCACAGAUGGAGACUGGGGAGAGCUGACUUUGGGAACAAUUCUUACCCUUUGCCAACUUCUGCCAGUUUCCCCAGGAUCCCCUCUGCCGGCUCUGGAGGAGUGGGGUGUCCCAGCGGGUCUCAUCCUGGUCACCAGACACCGUAGAGGAGGAAAAAUGGUUUUCUCUCUGCUGUUUGUGGAGAACUCUACUCCUUGCUGUUCAUCAAGAAAUCAAGGCCCAGGGGCCCACCCCGUGGCCGAGUGGUCAAGUUUAUGCCCGCUGCUUCAGCGGCCCAGGGGUUCUCCCGUUCGUGAUCCUGGGCGUGGACAUGACACCGCUCAUCAGGCUGUGCUGAGGUGGCAUCAGCACAACCAGAAAGACCUACAACUAGAAUAUACAACUG